rnacentral:rRNA from 1 species
AAUAGAUACCCCGGUAGUCCACGCCGUAAACGAUGAGUGCUAGGUGUUGGGGGUUCCAAUCCUCAGUGCCGCAGCUAACGCAAUAAGCACUCCGCCUGGGGAGUACGGCCGCAAGGCUGAAACUCAAAGGAAUUGACGGAGACCCGCACAAGCGGUGGAGCAUGUGGUUUAAUUCGAAGCAACGCGAAGAACCUUACCAGGGCUUGACAUCCCUCUGACCCCUCUAGAGAUAGAGGCUCUCUUCGGAGCAGAGGUGACAGGUGGUGCAUGGUUGUCGUCAGCUCGUGUCGUGAGAUGUUGGGUUAAGUCCCGCAACGAGCGCAACCCUUGUCCUUAGUUGCCAGCAUUGAGUUGGGCACUCUAAGGAGACUGCCGUCGACAAGACGGAGGAAGGUGGGGAUGACGUCAAAUCAUCAUGCCCCUUAUGUCCUGGGCUACACACGUGCUACAAUGGAUGGUACAACGGGCUGCGAACUCGCGAGAGUAAGCCAAUCCCAAAAAACCNUUCUCAGUUCAGU